rnacentral:rRNA from 1 species
UAUGUGGUUUAAUUCGAUGAUACGCGAAGAACCUUACCAAGGCUUAAAUGGGAAAUGACAGGUUUAAAAAUAGACUUUUCUUCGGACAUUUUUCAAGGUGCUGCAUGGUUGUCGUCAGCUCGUGCCGUGAGGUGUUAGGUUAAGUCCUGCAACGAGCGCAACCCCUGUCACUAGUUGCCAUCAUUAAGUUGGGGACUCUAGUGAGACUGCCUACGCAAGUACAGAGGAAGGUGGGGAUGACGUCAAAUCAUCACGGCCCUUACGCCUUGGGCCACACACGUAAUACAAUGGCCGGUACAGAGGGCAGCUACACUGCGAAGUGAUGCAAAUCUCGAAAGCCGGUCUCAGUUCGGAUUGGAGUCUGCAACUCGACUCUAUGAAGCUGGAAUCGCUAGUAAUCGCGCAUCAGCCAUGGCGCGGUGAAUACGUUCCCGGGCCUUGUACACACCGCCCGUCAAGCCAUGGAAGUCUGGGGUACCUGAAGUCGGUGACCGUAACAGGACCUGCCUAGGGUAAAACAGGUAACUAGGGCUAAGUCGUAACAA